AGUGAACGCUGGCGGUAGGCCUAACACAUGCAAGUCGAACGGCAGCACAGUAAGAGCUUGCUCUUACGGGUGGCGAGUGGCGGACGGGUGAGGAAUACAUCGGAAUCUACUUUUUCGUGGGGGAUAACGUAGGGACACUUACGCUAAUACCUCAUACGACCUACGGGUUAAAGCAGGGGAUCUUCGGACCUUGCGCGAUUGAAUGAGCCGAUGUCGGAUUAGCUAGUUGGCGGGGUAAAGGCCCACCAAGGCGACGAUCCGUAGCUGGUCUGAGAGGAUGAUCAGCCACACUGGAACUGAGACACGGUCCAGACUCCUACGGGAGGCAGCAGUGGGGAAUAUUGGACAAUGGGCGCAAGCCUGAUCCAGCCAUACCGCGUGGGUGAAGAAGGCCUUCGGGUUGUAAAGCCCUUUUGUUGGGAAAGAAAAGCAGCAGGUUAAUACCCCGCUGUUCUGACGGUACCCAAAGAAUAAGCACCGGCUAACUUCGUG
rnacentral:rRNA from 1 species